CCGCCGUAGCUCAGCCUGGAAGAGCGGCAGGCUGUGGACCUGUAGGUCGCGGGUUCAAAUCCCGCCGGCGGCCUCCA
rnacentral:tRNA from 1 species